CCUACGGGUGGCAGCAGUGGGGAAUAUUGCACAAUGGGCGAAAGCCUGAUGCAGCAACGCCGCGUGAAGGAAGACGGUUUUCGGAUUGUAAACUUCUAUCAAUAGGGAAGAAAGAAGUGACGGUACCUAAAUAAGACGCCCCGGCUAACUACGUGCCAGCAGCCGCGGUAAUACGUAGGGGGCACGCGUUAUCCGGAAUUACUGGGUGUAAAGGGAGAGUAGGUGGCAAGGUAAGCGAUAUGUGAAAGCCUUAAGCUUAACCUAAGGAUUGCAUAACGAACUAUCUAGCGAGAGUACAGGAGAGGAAAGCGGAAUUCCUAGUGUAGCGGUGAAAUGCGUAGAUAUUAGGAGGAACACCAGUGGCGAAGGCGGCUUUCUGGACUGAAACUGACGCGGAGGCUCGAAAGCGUGGGGAGCGAACAGGAUUAGAUACCCGAGUAGUC
rnacentral:rRNA from 1 species